rnacentral:misc_RNA from 1 species
ACAAUGCUAAUUAGUGAUGCUGGACAGGUGUAUGCCUUUGGAAAGGACUCCUUCGGUGAAGCUGAAUAUGGAGUUCAAGGAACUAAAUUGGUUACGACUCCACAAUUGGUUGAAUCUUUGAAAAACAUAUUUGUGGUCCAAGCUGCAAUAGGGAAUUUUUUCACUGCUGUAUUGUCCAGAGAAGGCAGGGUUUAUACAUUUUCUUGGGGCAGUGAUGGCAAACUUGGUCACCAGACUGAGCCAAAUGAUGUGGAACCUCAUCCUUUGUUGGGGGCACUUGAGAAUA